UCUAACCACUAGGCUACCUGCCGCCCUGACUGUGUGUGUGUGUGCGUGCGUGCGCGCUCAAAUGAUCCUAACAUGACCCCUAACCUGUGGUCUGCUCUGUUGUGGUCUCUGUUUGAUGAUGUCAGAUCCUGGACUCGGAGCUGUUUGAGCUGAUGCAUCAGAAUGGAGACUACACCCACUUCUAUUUCUGUUACCGCUGGUUCCUGUUGGACUUCAAAAGAGAGCUGCUGUACCAGGAUGUGUUCUCAGUAUGGAGGUGAUCUGGGCGGCCCCUCAUAUCUCUCUCCAGCACUUCAUCCUGUUCCUGGCCCUGGCUCUUGUAGAGGUCUACAGAGAGAUCAUCAGAGACAAUACCAUGGACUUCACUGACAUCAUCACCUUCUUCAAACGAGAUGGCAGAACGUCAUGACGUACAGCACAUCCUUCAGAUCGCCAGAGAGCUGGUGCGCAAGGUCCAGUCUCUCAUCGAGAACAAGUGACGAGAGGAGGACGAAGAGGGCCGGGGGAGGAGAGGUAGAGAGGAGCAGAUACCAUCACUGCACCCCUCCACCCGCCCAUCCAUCCUCUGCAUCCAGCACAGCUCCCUCCCUCUCUUACCCCUCUUUACCCCUCCCAAACCUGUGGAAGAGACAGACGUGGGCCCUCUAUCCCUCCAGCCGGACCAGUGAAGGAUGAAGGCUCCAGGUUGACCAUCCUAGCCUGGAUGAAGGCUCCAGGUUGACCAUCCUAGCCUGGAUGAAGGCUCCAGGUUGACCAUCCUAGCCUGGAUGAAGGCUCCAGGUUGACCAUCCUAGCCUGGAUGAAGG